CUGGCUCUGAGGGAGGCCUCAUCUUUUUCUAAUCACAUGGAAUAUAUGGAGAACUACCCAUUUGGAUACAGAAAUGGCUCGAAGUGAUUUCAGAGAUUUCAGAGUUGGUAUCUCAGCUUCAUUAAGAUACCUUUGAUGUUAUGAAGAUGCUGCCAGAUCUGCUGAGAUUUUCCAGCAAUUUCUCUUUUGUUUCCAAUAAAUAUACACCUAAGCUGCUCAAGCUUUUCUCUUAAGACAAUCCCAGGAAUCAGUUGAGUGAAUCUUCUCUGAACUGCUUCCAGUAAGCACGGAGGCCAAAACUGAACACCGUGCUCUAUGUGCGGUCUCACCAAUGCUGCCCCUAAUUUGAGAAAUAACCCUACUUUUAUGGUUUUACAUUGUACUGGAUUCCUUUUGCAAGAAAGGCCAACUGUCCAUUUGAUGAUAGAACAACUAAUGAUACCAUCCCAUGGGGAGAACAGACUGUUUAACAUCUGAGGUGUUGAGGUUUCUUCAUAACUGGAGUAUCAAUGAAAUCGAACAGGGUGAAAGGUCAUCACAUUGAAGAGAAAAACAGAUCUUCCAAAGGACAGUCCUCAAAAAGUCAUACACUAAAUUAAACAAAAUGUUAAUUAAUUCUUAAAUGGAUUUCUGAAACGAGGCCAGUAAAUACAGCAGCAGUCCAGACCAUGUCUGUAUAUACAACAGACUAGUUGAUGUUUCAAGAGCAAACCGGUUCCCACAUCAGGGGUGAAUGACUGAGCAAGAAUCGAUCAACAGUUUUCUACAUCCCAUCAUUUCUAAAUAUUUGAAAACACAUCAAAGUAAAUGGAUGGUUCUGAAUGAGGAAAGACCAAGAAUCAAUCUGUGUUGGAGCAUUCUUAGUAAAUAGU